GAUGAAGAACGUAGCGAAAUGCGAUAAGUAGUGUGAAUUGCAGAAUUCAGUGAAUCAUCGAAUCUUUGAACGCACACUGCGCCCUUUGGUAUUCCUUAGGGCAUGCCUGUUCGAGCGUCAUUUAAACCUUCAAGCUAAGCUUGGUGUUGGGUGACUGUCCGCUUCACUGCGGACUCGCCUCAAAAUUAUUGGCGGCCGGUACAUUGGCUUCGAGCGCAGCAGAAACGCGAACUCGGGCCCGUCGUAUUGGCUCCCAGAAGCUAUCUUCACAAUUUUGACCUCGGAUCAGGUAGGGAUACCCGCUGAACUUAAGCAUAUCAAUAAGCGGAGGA
rnacentral:misc_RNA from 1 species